rnacentral:lncRNA from 1 species
AUGGGACUUUUUGAUCUCUGUAAUUAUUGGAAGAGGUAUACAGAGGCCAGGUGGCAAACACAGUCCUGGCCUAAAUCCAUUUCGCAUGGCGUCAGUGUGUUCAUGGACUCACCUGUGUUGGUUUCCCUGAUACCUUGGUGGAUUAAUCAGGAUGAUUGUACUGAGCAACUGGCAGAAUGCUCACAGCAAGUCCUGAAACUGUGGAGUAGACCCAUGUAAUCGGAACCCUCUGAAGUUACCCAGCCUCCAGGCCAAGACAGUAAAUAUGCAGCAAUAUAUAUGUAGGGUGGAAUGGCAGGGAAUGCUGCCAUGAGAUUUUAAGGAGAUGAGGUUGGUGGUCCCCGUUACAUCUCCAUUUCAUUUGCCAGUCUGGCGCCUGAAAUAGAGAUAGCUCACGAUUGAUAGAACUAUCAACUCCAUCAGGUGGUAGCCUAAUUAUAACUAUUCUUAUAUUGUGGUUUCAUAAUUAUCUGUGAUAAUUAUGACACAGCUUCUGCUACUUAGUAUGUGAUCACUGAUUUGGUGAAUGAAUUCUUUUCAGUCUCAUCAGAAAGGAGGAUCAAAAGCUUUUGCAUCCACUUGGGACAGAUAGUGGUACACGAUCUGUCCCAGGAAAUUGUAGUCUCUCUAAUGCUUUCACCAGCAAUAUAGUUUAAUGGUUGUUCUAUCAUCUGGACAUUACAUAGAAUAUUAUGCUGAUCCAUUAUAUUGAUGACAUCAUGAAGAUCUGACCUAAAAAGGAGAAAACAACCAGAAUGGUGAAAGUCUUGAUAAGGUGUAUGGGCACCAGUGGGUAGAAGAAAUCCCUGCAGAAUUUCAGCAGCCGGCCAAACUGGUGAGUUUUCAGGGGAACAGUGGUUAUUGCAUCUUACAUGUACUUCCUAUUGUAAGUCAAAGGAACCAGGACUAGGCAUAGGCCUUCUGAUUUGGAAAGAUCAUACAUCAUGCUUGGGAAUAUUGCUGUCAUCCACUAAGUGCGCUGACUCUGAAGGCUGACACUCUUGAGCGACCACGGG